rnacentral:rRNA from 1 species
UGGGGAAUAUUGCACAAUGGGCGGAAGCCUGAUGCAGCGACGCCGCGUGGGGGAUGAAGGCCUUCGGGUUGUAAACUCCUUUCGACAGGGACGAAGCUUUUGUGACGGUACCUGUAUAAGAAGCACCGGCUAACUACGUGCCAGCAGCCGCGGUAAUACGUAGGGUGCGAGCGUUGUCCGGAAUUACUGGGCGUAAAGAGCUCGUAGGUGGUUUGUCGCGUCGUCUGUGAAAUUCCGGGGCUUAACUCCGGGCGUGCAGGCGCUACGGGCUGACUUGAGUGCUGUAGGGGAGACUGGAAUUCCUGGUGUAGCGGUGAAAUGCGCAGAUAUCAGGAGGAACACCGAUGGCGAAGGCAGGUCUCUGGGCAGUAACUGACGCUGAGGAGCGAAAGCAUGGGUAGCGAACAGG